AUCCCUUUAGUAUUAAUUAGUACAGCUGACUUCCAAUCAGCUAGUCCUAGUAUAAACCUAGGAAAGGAUA
rnacentral:tRNA from 1 species